rnacentral:misc_RNA from 1 species
GUAGGUGAACCUGCGGAGGGAUCAUUACUGAAUGGUCGUCCGACCUUCAAACCCUCAAACCUGUGGAAGCAAACACGUGCUUCGGCGCCCCGGCGUCGCUUUUAUGCCGUAAUGAGUUUUGUGUCUGAAAUAAUGCAAAGAAUUAAAACUUUCAACAAAGGAUCUCUUGGCUCUCGCAUCGAUGAAGAACGCAGCAUCUGACUGACUAAGAUUCG